rnacentral:SRP_RNA from 1 species
GCUGGGCAUAGUGGUGCAGGCCUGUAGUCCCAGUUACUCCUACUUGAAGGCCUGAGGCAACAGCACUGCUUGAGACCAGAAGUUCUGGGCUGUAGUGAGCUGUGCCAAUUGGAAAUCUGCCCUAAGUUCAGCUUCAGUACGGUGACUUCCUGGAGCUGGGGACCACCAGGUUGCCUAAGGAGAGGUCAACUCGCCCAGGUGUGAAAUUAGCAGGUGAAAACUUCCAUGCUGAUCAGAAGUGGCACCACGCCUGUGAAUAGCUACUGUACUCCAGCCAGGGAAACUCAGGGACACCCAGUCUCU